rnacentral:rRNA from 1 species
GAUGAACGCUAGCUACAGGCUUAACACAUGCAAGUAGAGGGACCGACGCACGGGUGAGUCACACGUAUCCAACCUCCCCUUUACUCAGGGAUAGCCUUUCGAAAGAAAGAUUAAUACCCGAUAUAAAGGAUGGGGAUGCGUUCCAUUAGGUUGUUGGUGAGGUAACGGCUCACCAAGCCUGCGAUGGAUAGGGGUUAUGAGAGGAAGGUCCCUCACAUGGGAAUUGAGACACGUUCCAAACGCCUACGGGAGGCAGGAGUGAGGCAUAUUGGUCAAUGGGCGCUAGCCUGAACCAGCCAAUUAGCGUGAAGGAUGAAGGCUUAUGGGUCGUAAACUUCUUUUAUAUACGAAGCUGUAUUAUAUGAAUAAGGAUCGGCUAACUCCGUGCCAGCAGCCGCGGUAAUUC